rnacentral:tRNA from 2 species
GCCUAGGUAGCUCAGUUGGUAGAGCGGCGGACUGAAAAUCCGUGCGCCCAGGUUCGAUUCCUGGCCUUGGCACCA